UCUGGUGAUGAUGGCAGAGAGGUCACACCCGUUCCCAUACCGAACACGGAAGUUAAGCUCUCUAGCGCCGAUGGUAGUUGGGACCUUGUCCCUGUGAGAGUAGGACGUCGCCAAGC
rnacentral:rRNA from 6 species